CUCACAGUGUUUUAUGCUCUAGCAAAGUUCCCUCCUUCUUCCCUGGCUGCCCCACCCUGGAGUCCUCUCCUGGCUCCUCGGCCUGGCCUCUACCCUCUCUCCACCUGGCUUGUGACCCCCUCUCCCUAGGGCACUGGGCCCCCCCUCCACCCUUUCUCCUCCUACCUGCUGCCCACUUACUUCCCUCCCCAACACCUGUCUCUUCUGUGUCCUUGAGAGACACCAGGGUCACUUAUGCUUCUCUUUCAUAUACUGUCACUACAAGUCCUGUGGACACUGCCCUUACUGGGUGCAAAUUUCCAGAUUUUGUCCCUCCUUCUCCCUCCUGAACCCAUAGAGGUCCCCGUUUCCUCUGUCUGAACUUUCACAUCUCUGGGCUUUUUCUGCAGGGCCCUUCCUUCUGCCUCGAACCCCCUCUUGUAGUCUGUCUGACAAAACUCAGGUUUCCCUGAGAACCCGGUCUGACUCCAUUCCCUCGCUUCACUCCCUGAGCCUUCCUCUCUGUCUGCGUCACCAGGCCUGGUCCUCUUCUUCGGUGACAUCUGUUCCCUGUCUCUCAUUAAUGAGGCUGGAGCCCCAGUCCUCCGGUGCCCAGGCUCUGGUGCUGGAGCCUCACAUGGUCAGGCCUUGAUGAGAGCACGGCUGAAACACACACUGUCCCUGGGAGGUAAGGAGGACAGGUCACGCUUGGGGACACAUGAAGGAUAUGACACCCCCCCACACUUGUCAGCUUCUGAUCACACACCGAGCUGGAUGAUGAAGACAGCUGUCCAGCACACUGGAGGGGUGGUGUGUUCCAGCCUGCGUAUGUUGGGCAGCCACCUGGAGAACCUGUUUGUUCACUCUCAGGAGGGAGCCAGAAAGAGCCGGUACAAGACUGCCCCCUCCUCUGCCAUACUGGCUCCCUGCUGCAGAGACCAGGAAGGCCCCACCCUCUGCAGGUGAGCUCAGAAAACCACAGCACCAGUGGUGAUGCCAUGUAUGAAGCUGAAUCACUGAAGUUCCACCAGCUGUCAGGCUGCACUGCUCCUGCUGCAGCUCAGAAAUUUUACAUUCGAUGCAAGUAUUGGAGGAUUUGAGCAUGGUAUCUCAAGCAGUUGCACCUAAACAUUUACUAUUAAAAUA
ensembl:lncRNA